UGAGUAACCUGCCCUUAACUCUGGGAUAAGCCUGGGAAACUGGGUCUAAUACCGGAUAUGACUCCUCAUCGCAUGGUGGGGGGU
rnacentral:rRNA from 1 species